CCUACGGGAGGCAGCAGUAGGGAAUAUUGGGCAAUGGACGAGAGUCUGACCCAGCCAUGCCGCGUGCAGGAAGAAGGCUUUCUGAGUCGUAAACUGCUUUUGACAGGGAAGAAUAAGCACUGCGUGUAGUGUGAUGACGGUACCUGCAGAAUAAGCACCGGCUAACUCCGUGCCAGCAGCCGCGGUAAUACGGAGGGUGCGAGCGUUAUCCGGAUUUAUUGGGUUUAAAGGGUGCGUAGGCGGCCUUUUAAGUCCGGGGUGAAAGCCCGUUGCUUAACAACGGAACUGCCCUGGAUACUGAGAGGCUUGAGUACAGACGAGGUUGGCGGAAUGGACCGAGUAGCGGUGAAAUGCAUAGAUACGGUCCAGAACCCCGAUUGCGAAGGCAGCUGACUAGGCUGUUACUGACGCUGAGGCACGACAGCGUGGGGAGCGAACAGGAUUAGAUACCCUGGUAGUCCACGCCGUAAACGAUGGAUACUCGCUGCGAGCUAAAGAUUGUUCGUGGCUUAGGGAAACCGAUAAGUAUCCCACCUGGGGAGUCGCGGCAAGUUGAAACUGAAAGGAAUUGAGGCGNGAGAGNGCGAGACGACGACGAGGAGGAGG
rnacentral:rRNA from 1 species